rnacentral:tRNA from 1 species
GGAUAGAUGGCUUAGUGGUUAAGGCAUUGAUUGGUCUUCCAGAGGACCUGGGUUCAAUUCCCAGCACCCA